GACUACAAAGUAGGCUUACAUGGCAGAAGUAGUGUAUAUCAUGACCCUCCUGGUUUUGAACCUUGCCUGUCCUGUUGCCAUAUCCACCUGCCUGACCACUCUGCCUGUUCUGACCUCGAGCCUGCCUAUCCCCUUGUACUGUAUGGACUCGGAGCUGUUCACUGAACCCCUGCCUGUCCUGACCUUGAGCCUGCCUAUCGCCUGAUACUGUUUGGACUCUGACCUGGUUUAUAAACUCUCGCCUGUCCCCGACCUGCCUUUUGCCUACCCCCUUUUGGUGUAAUAAAUAUCGGAGCUCAACCAUCUGCCUCCUGUGUCUGCAUUUGGGUCUCGCCUUGUGCCGUUACACCCACAAUGGAUGGAAGAAAUGUCAAGUUAUGUAUCACUAGAUUGUACUUAUUACAAGACUAAGGGUAUACUGUGGAACUUUCAUAAGGUCUGGAUGCCAUAUGGAAUACAGUCGACAAAAGGAGUCUGUAUUGAAAACAUGCCCACGUCAUGGGAGAUACCUAUUAGGCAAUCCCUAGCUGCUGUGCUGCUCAGUCCUAGUCUUGGGGGUCUGCCGUACUGUUGGUUGACACUCUGGUCUUGGCCUUACACACCUGAAACCAACAUUGAAUGUUGGUUUGGUGUGUUGGGUUGGUGCGCUGCGUUGGUGUGUUGGGUUGGUGCGCUGCGUUGGUGUGUUGGGUUGGUGCGCUGCAGGGACGUAGACCCUUAGGGGCAGGACAAUGGGACCCAGCUACAUUGUGUGCAAGCAAAACAUAUAUGAAUUAUAUGGAGGGUGUACUGUUUCUGUGUGUUAAUGUGUAUGUGUUUUUUUAUUAAAAAAACUUUUUUUCCAAACCUUUCCUUGAGAAAAAAAGAAAAAGAUAAAAGGAAGUUGUGUUGGGGCGUGCAGUCGGCUCGGGCUGGUUUAAUAAAGAAUCUUUAUACUUCA